GAUUAUGGCUCAGGAUGAACGCUAGCGACAGGCUUAACACAUGCAAGUCGAGGGGCAGCAUAAAAGUAGCAAUACUUGGUGGCGACCGGCGCACGGGUGAGUAACGCGUAUGCAACCUACCUAUCAGAGGGGAAUAACCCGGCGAAAGUCGGACUAAUACCGCAUAAAACAGGGGCACCGCAUGGUGAUAUUUGUUAAAGAAAUUCGCUGAUAGAUGGGCAUGCGUUCCAUUAGGUAGUUGGUGAGGUAACGGCUCACCAAGCCGACGAUGGAUAGGGGAACUGAGAGGUUGGUCCCCCACACUGGUACUGAGACACGGACCAGACUCCUACGGGAGGCAGCAGUGAGGAAUAUUGGUCAAUGGGCGAGAGCCUGAACCAGCCAAGUCGCGUGAAGGAAGAAGGAUCUAUGGUUCGUAAACUUCUUUUGCAGGGGAAUAAAGUGCAGGACGUGUCCUGUUUUGUAUGUACCCUGAGAAUAAGGAUCGGCUAACUCCGUGCCAGCAGCCGC
rnacentral:rRNA from 1 species